GGAUGUAGCGCAGUUGGUUAGAGCGCUAGUUUGUGGCACUAGAGGUCGUGGGUUCGAGUCCCAUCUUC
rnacentral:tRNA from 1 species